rnacentral:lncRNA from 1 species
UCUCUUAAGAAGACAAAUUUGUGUAUCCUCUGCUCAACACCCUAAAUUUGUUAUUUGUCUAAAGAUCUAUGUGAAAUACUUUAAUCAUGAUAUCCUCUUCUCUUUCUGUAUAUGUGUCAAGACACACAUAAUAAAUUACAAGGAUAAUUUUGGACAAACUUUUAUGGUGAAUUAAUUUCUAAAGAUUUAAUGUGAAAGUUCACGAUACAUGUUGAUUUCUUGCUAUCAGAACAACAACCAAAACCCCUAAAGUCCUCUAUAAAGGGAUGUGCAACCCUCAUUGAAGAAUAAACAACAACAUACUACAAUAAGCAUGAUACAAUCCUCUAUGUACUCAUGCUCUUGAUCUUUUUCUUUGUUUACGUAAUGAGAUAUAUUUUUGGAGAGUACAACAUUGUAAACACCCUCUUGUGAGAGUUAUUAAGAAAAUCCAUAAAACCAUUCUAUCUGUAACCUAGUAGAGUAGUGGUUGCAUCCCUCAACAACUUCAUUCUACUAAGAUAGAAGGUUGAGAAGACUUGAACACAAUCAGAUUGACUAGUAGGUGUUUAGUGGAUGAUUCAGUUGGUGAAUCAAUGGAUUAAAUCCUUCAGUUUGAAGGGACUGGAUGUAGCUAGCGUGUUGAUAGUGAAUUCAGAUAAAUCGGUUGUGUUGUUAUAUUUUUUUUGUUUUAUCUGCUAUGAUUUCAUCACUUUGUUUAAAAUGGUUUUAAAAUAAAACAUAAUGCAUACCCCUCUUUCUUGUACUUCUUGGUCUACACAAAUAUCCUUAGAAACAACAUUGAAACACAAGUCAUGGUAUAUGGAAAGUGGAUGCUCACGACACAUGAUGGUAGAAAAGUCUAUGUUUUAAAACCUGAUCUUCAAGGAAAUAGGAUUUGUGGGAUAUAGAGGAAAUUAGAAGGAUUAGAUCAUAGGGUGUGGCAUGGUAGCUUGACUGUAAAAAAAUAUGAAAAGUUUUACAAAUAUCAGAGGACCCGGAUGAAUCAGAGGAAGCACCAAAUUUCUCGUCUAUGUAAUCGGAAGAAGUACUUGAUAAUACAAGGACAAGUAAUGAGGAACCAUCCACAAGUCAAAGUCAUCAGGAAUCUAACCUUGAAUGAAAAUACAAAUCUUUACAUCUAGACUCCUUGAUCAUUAGAAAUUUAUAUGAUCCAAUGAAGACCAUAUCUACUUAGGAAACAUCAUUGUUCGAGCUUCUGCCUGAAAUCGGCUUGCAAAAAUAGAUGAAGCAUUAUCGAAGGAUGGAUGGAUUAUGGCCAUGCAAGAAGAACUAGAUAAAUUCAAGAUAAAUGAUGUAUGGUAUCUUGUACCAAAG